UUGCUGUGAUGACCAUCUUAGGACACCUUUGGAUUCAACCAUGAAAAAAACACUUAAUAAACUGAGCAAC